AUCUAAUGGUGACACAACGGUAAAAUUGUGAUUCGGUGCUUAAUGUAAAUAAUUGUUAUGCGCUAUGUGUGUGUUGUUUAUAAUAUUCUAAGCAUCCGUUGGUUGAUAAUUGUGAGCAUGUGUUCAUAUAGUUGUAGUCACUUCUCAUUCUAAUUUUUUGAAUAAUGGCCAGCUAGAUUGAGGAUUCGAUGAAAACUUUAAUGUUAAUUGUGUUGUUUGAUACUAAGUUAAACUUGCAGAUAUUAACCAAAGUUUUGUUAUUAUUUGCAGCAUGGUGAUUUAGAGAUGGAUUCAAAAGACGAAGGAGAAGAUGUAAAUGGUAAAGUUCGUUUUCAUUAGCCAAAC
rnacentral:lncRNA from 1 species